UCUCCGUUGGUGAACCAGCGGAGGGAUCAUUACUGGAAUCGCAAGAUCCCACAACCCUGUGAACCUACCGAAACGUUGCCUCGGCGGGUGCCCGGCCUCUGCGCCGGGCGCGGCGCCCGCCGGCGGCCCCCUACUCUGUCUCUGCAGCAUUGCAUCUCAGAGUCCCAGAAAACAACUAAAAACUUUCAACAACGGAUCUCUUGGCUCUA
rnacentral:misc_RNA from 1 species